AUGUUCAUACGAUCAUUCCACCUGGUGUUACUUCCUUCAAACCAAAUCAUUCCACCUGGUGUUACUACUCCCUUCAAACCAAAUCAAAUAUGCAUGUUCAUCAAGUCAUUAUAUGGUAUUAAGCAAGCUACCAGGCAAUGGUAUGAGAAGUUCACAUCCCUCCAUAUUCAUCGUGGCUACAUUGAUGAUGUCAUCAUAGCUAGAAAAUUUCUUUAUGAAUUUAAAGUAAUCAAAGGUGCUCUUCGUCAAGCCUUCAAAAUUUCAAAAUUAUAUGUAUUGGCAUCCUCAAAUAUUUUGGGAAUUUCUUAUUACACUAUAUAA